AGCGAACGCUGGCGGCAUGCCUAACACAUGCAAGUCGAACGGACCCUCCGGGAUUAGUCGCGGACGGGGGAGUAACACGUGGGAACGUGCCCUUUUGUUCGGCACAACUCAGGGAAACUUGAGCUAAUACCGGAUGUGCCCUUCGGGGGAAAGAUUUAUCGCCAUGGGAGCGGCCCGCGUCUGAUUAGCUAGUUGGUGAGGUAACGGCCCACCACGGCGACGAUCAGUAGCUGGUCUGAGAGGAUGAUCAGCCACACUGGGACUGAGACACGGCCCAGACUCCUACGGGAGGCAGGAGUGGGGAAUCGUGCGCAAUGGGCGAAAGCCUGACGCAGCCAUGCCGCGUGAAUGAUGAAGGUCUUAGGAUUGUAAAAUUCUUUCAGCGGGGACGAUAAUGACGGUACCCGCAGAAGAAGCUCCGGCUAACUUCGUG
rnacentral:rRNA from 1 species